UUUCAUUUCCCGCUCUACACUCCACCAAAACCUCCCUUCAUUAAAAAUCUUAGGAAGCGGUCACUAAUCUCGCGCGCUCUUUCAGCAGAAAGCCAAAACUCAGAAACUGUCGUUGUCGAUCAUUCCCUCACCCCUUGUGUCGCGGCGCAGCCGGUUACUCUCGCUCACGUUGUCGCGGCUGCCGGUCACUCUCACUCACGCCGGCUAUCUAUCUCGUCACCCAGAGCAUCGAUGGGUACUAGAAAGUAGAAAAUCCUAAGACAAGACUUCGAUUGACGAGAAUGAGAUUCGGAUUACAAGCAUGACUCUGCUACAUCACUUACAACAUGACUCUGCUCCAGAAUGCUGAUUUUAGGUGUAACAAUACAUAAGCCAAAGAGAGUAAUAAGGAUAAUGAUGAUGACUUGCAAAAGAAGGGUCAGCCUUUCCUUAGUUCUUCUCUCCGAUCUUACUGAAGGCCUUUACCAUAACUUUCUUUGGUGUAUACGGGGAUAAGAGUCAGGCAAGCACAUAUCACUAAAUUUCUGGCUAUUUUGACUAGUCGAAUUAUAGUGCUCCUUCUUUCUCAUUUAGCAAUGAGUAGGAUAAUUUUGCAGCUUGCUACAAUAGGCUUGGCUGCUGAAGAAAAUCCUUUAAUUUGGUGUAGUUCUUGGUGGAAUCCUGCUCCACCUCCUUGUAGAAGGGCUCCGGCAGAUUCUGCCAUUGCUAUUGAGGUGAUGUCUACUAAACAAAAUGAAAAUGCAACAAAUGAAGGUCGGUCGCCUUUAACAUUUGUACAGAGGCUUGCUGCAUCAGUAAAUGAAGUUCCUGCAGAUCCGAGCAUUUCACAGAAACAUGUAUAUUGCACAGAGAUGUCAACUGCUCAAACACGAAAACUUAUUUUUUUUUAUUUUUUUUCUUUCCUUUUAUUUCUUUCAAAUAAAAUACUUCGAAUUGUAUGUCUCUUAAUGUAUCUAUCAUUAGAUGUGAUAUAGGUCAGGAUUGUAUUUUAUAAUUUAUCAUAUUUGGCUCAUAUAAUGUAUGGUAUGACAUUUUAUAUUUAUAUAAAAA